rfam:Ictidomys tridecemlineatus contig098750, whole genome shotgun sequence.
UGGGUUGUAGCUCAGUGGUAGAGCGCUUGCCUCCCACGCAUGAGGCCCUGGGUUCAACCCUCAGCACCACAU